AUUGAACGCUGGCGGCAGGCCUAACACAUGAAAGUCGAGCGAGCGGCGGACGGGUGAGGAAUGUAUGGGGACUGCCCGAUAGAGGGGGAUCACAACUGGAAACGGUGGCUAAUAACGCAUACUAUCGGCUAAACGAUCUGGGAUGAGCUAGUGGGUGGGGUAAAGGCUCACGUAGGCGCAGAACUCUAGCUGGUCUGAGAGGAUGAUCAGCCACACUGGGACUGAGACACGGCCCAGACUCCUACGGAGGCAGCAGUGGGGAAUAUUGCACAAUGGGCGCAAGCCUGAUGCAGCCAUGCCGCGUGUAUGAAGAAGGCCUUAGGGUUGUAAAGUACUUUCAGCGGGGAGGCGUUACCCGCAGAAGAAGCACCGGCUAACUCCGUGCCAGCAGCCGCGGUAAUAC
rnacentral:rRNA from 1 species